GCACUCUUAGCUUAAUGGUAAAGUAAUUAUUUUCGGCAUAAUUGAUAUUGGUUCAAUUCCGAUAGGGUGUU